UACAGAGGUCUCAAGCGUUGUUCGGAUUCAUUGGGCGUAAAGGGUGCGUAGGCGGCGCGGUAAGUCGGGUGUGAAAUCUUGGAGCUUAACUCCGAAACUGCAUUCGAUACUGCCGUGCUUGAGGACUGGAGAGGAGACUGGAAUUUACGGUGUAGCGGUGAAAUGCGUAGAUAUCGUAAGGAAGACCAGUGGCGAAGGCGGGUCUCUGGACAGUUCCUGACGCUGGAGGCACGAAAGCGUGGGGAGCAAACAGG
rnacentral:rRNA from 1 species